rnacentral:rRNA from 1 species
CACGUAGGGUGCGAGCGUUGUCCGGAAUUAUUGGGCGUAAAGAGCUCGUAGGCGGUUUGUCGCGUCGGCUGUGAAAACUCGGGGCUCAACCCCGAGCCUGCAGUCGAUACGGGCAGACUAGAGUGCGGUAGGGGAGACUGGAAUUCCUGGUGUAGCGGUGAAAUGCGCAGAUAUCAGGAGGAACACCGGUGGCGAAGGCGGGUCUCUGGGCCGUAACUGACGCUGAGGAGCGAAAGCGUGGGGAGCAAACAGG